UGGGUAACCUGCCCAAGAGAUCGGGAUAACACCUGGAAACAGAUGCUAAUACCGGAUAACAACAGAUGAUGCCUAUCAACUGUUUAAAAGAUGGUUCUGCUAUCACUCUUGGAUGGACCUGCGGUGCAUUAGCUAGUUGGUAAGGUAACGGCCUACCAAGGCGAUGAUGCAUAGCCGAGUUGAGAGACUGAUCGGCCACAUUGGGACUGAGACACGGCCCAAACUCCUACGGAGGCAGCAGGA
rnacentral:rRNA from 1 species